UUCCGGGGGCAGAGGGCACAGGCUUCUGUCCAAUUACGUGGUGGAGCGCGUGCCCGGUAGAACCGAAGCUCUGGGUUAGCUGUCCGAUUCCUGGGGGAGAAUCCAGUCGUCCCUGCUGUGGUCUGGAGUGGACACUGCCCCUCUGCUGUGACCAGGGCUGGCUUGCCACUCUCCACGUCACUGAGCUGCACCCUCCCUGUCCUACCCCUCCCGCUUCAUUUCCAUCCCAUCUACCUGAAAGGUGCAUCGGAGAUGUCUGAGGAAGAAACUGUGACAGAAUGUGACUCUAAACACAGAUCAAGCAAGCCGAGGAUGGAAGCAAGACCUGAGGCCACCACAGCCGGAGCGCCGCCCGUCGGUUCAGCAGGGCGUUAGAUUCUCACAGAGGCAGUGCCUGCCGCGACCUGUGCUCCUCUGAAUCCUCUGCACACCAUCCUCCCAUCUUGGGAAAAACUGUCUCCCACAGAACAGGUUCCUGGUGCCACAAAGCUUGGGGUCUGCUGUAGUCAGGGCCAGGUGCACUCCUGCCUGCCGCAGGGCGAGGUGUGGGUAAAGGACCCAGAAGGCUGCUCUGGGGUGUGGUCUGAGCCCCCCUCGAGGCUGCUGGAGAACCCAAGAGAGCAGCAACCGUCUCCCGUUAGCCAGACCAGCCUAUGCAAGGACAAACCCAAACCGUGCCUGCUCCCCUUGCUAACCGCCGCUCGCAGGUUACCCGCAAGUGCACGGGCAGGACUCACCGUUCACCCGCUGCGACUUUCUCUCCCCUUUCUUUAUAUAAUUGUCUCUGCCUUUGACGGGGAAAACCAGUCUGUUGACUUUAUGUACACGUAAACAGCACGGUCGUAGUGAAGGAACGAAUUCAAUGUCUUUGGGGUUUUGGGCAGGGAACAAUAACUACCAUUUGUUAAGCACGAAACCACACACAGGUGAGUGUAUACGUGAACUCCGCCGCCCAGCCAGGCAGGCGCUAACAGCUCCCCU